UUUUUUUUCAUUCCCGAAGUU
rnacentral:piRNA from 1 species